AGACCCGAAACCCGGUGAUCUAGCCAUGGGCAGGUUGAAGGUUGGGUAACACUAACUGGAGGACCGAACCGACUAAUGUUGAAAAAUUAGCGGAUGACCUGUGGCUGGGGGUGAAAGGCCAAUCAAACCGGGAGAUAGCUGGUUCUCCCCGAAAGCUAUUUAGGUAGCGCCUCGUGAAUUCAUCUCCGGGGGUAGAGCACUGUUUCGGCUAGGGGGCCAUCCCGGCUUACCAACCCGAUGCAAACUGCGAAUACCGGAGAAUGUUAUCACGGGAGACACACGGCGGGUGCUAACGUCCGUCGUGAAGAGGGAAACAACCCAGACCGCCAGCUAAGGUCCCAAAGUCAUGGUUAAGUGGGAAACGAUGUGGGAAGGCCCAGACAGCCAGGAUGUUGGCUUAGAAGCAGCCAUCAUUUAAAGAAAGCGUAAUAGCUCACUGGUCGAGUCGGCCUGCGCGGAAGAUGUAACGGGGCUAAACCAUGCACCGAAGCUGCGGCAGCGACACUCAGGUGUUGUUGGGUAGGGGAGCGUUCUGUAAGCCUGCGAAGGUGGCCUGUGAGGGUUGCUGGAGGUAUCAGAAGUGCGAAUGCUGACAUAAGUAACGAUAAAGCGGGUGAAAAGCCCGCUCGCCGGAAGACCAAGGGUUCCUGUCCAACGUUAAUCGGGGCAGGGUGAGUCGACCCCUAAGGCGAGGCCGAAAGGCGUAGUCGAUGGGAAACGGGUUAAUAUUCCCGUACUUGGUGUUACUGCGAAGGGGGGACGGAGAAGGCUAUGUUGGCCGGGCGACGGUUGUCCCGGUUUAAGCGUGUAGGUGUGUGUUCCAGGUAAAUCCGGUUCACUUUAACACUGAGGCGUGAUGACGAGGCACUACGGUGCUGAAGCAACAAAUGCCCUGCUUCCAGGAAAAGCCUCUAAGCAUCAGGUAACAUCAAAUCGUACCCCAAACCGACACAGGUGGUCAGGUAGAGAAUACCAAGGCGCUUGAGAGAACUCGGGUGAAGGAACUAGGCAAAAUGGUGCCGUAACUUCGGGAGAAGGCACGCUGACAUGUAGGUGAAGUGAUUUACUCAUGGAGCUGAAGUCAGUCG
rnacentral:rRNA from 1 species